GAAAAUUGAGUUAGAAAGCCAUGAGCCAAGGAAUGCUGGCAACCUCUAGAAGCUGAAAAUGCAAGGAAACUUAUUCUUCCUUACAGCCUCUAGAGGGGAACACCAAGGGAGACUCAUGUCAGACUUCUGACCUGCAGAACUCUAUGUUUACUACUAGAAACAUCUGUGAGAAGGGCCAGAUGUGAAAUAGCUUGGAAAACAGUUUGCUGAGAGGUGCUCUACCAAAUGACUGCAUCAAUUAUUUUGACUUGGGAAACAGUGAAGGUAGGUUUUAAAAACUGCACAGGCUGCAUUGUAAAAAUAUUCUUCAAAGUUUAUUUGUUUUUGAGAUAGUUUCUAUUUUUGCUCAUUAGAUGAAAAGCGUGGCUACAUUAUAGAAAGAGCAUUGGAUUAAAAAUCAGAUGAUUUUUCUGUUACCAGAUCUGUGAAAUUUAGGAUGUAUGUUAACUUGGUUUUUGUAUUUAAAAAGCUGCAAAACUUUAAUAAAU
rnacentral:lncRNA from 1 species